rnacentral:tRNA from 2 species
AUCUUCUGAGUAUGACUACAGUACAGUUGCCUUCCAAGCAGAAAGAUUAAGAAAACUUAAAGAAGAUA